rnacentral:rRNA from 1 species
AUUGAACGCUAGCGGGAGGCUUUACACCUGCAAGUCGAACGAGCGGCGGACGGGUGAGUAAUAUCUCGGAAAGUGCCAGGUGGCGGGGGAUAACUACUCGAAAGGGUAGCUAAUACCGCAUACCCUUGGGGCUGCCGAUAUCGGAUUAGCUAGUAGGUGGGGUAAAGGCUCACCAAGGCACCGAGCCGUAGCUGGUUUGAGAGGACGACCAGCCACACUGGGACUGAGACACGGCCCAGACUCCUACGGGAGGCAGCAGUGGGGAAUGUUGGACAAUGGGGGAAACCCUGAUGCAGCCAUGCCGAGUGUAUGAGAAGGCCGUCGGGUUGUAAAGUACUUUUGGCAGGGAAGCGGUAUCCGCAGAAUAAGCACCGGCUAACUCCGUGCUAGCAGCCGCGGUAAUAC